GCCGGGUGUGGUGGUGCACACCUGUUAUCCCAAUGGCUAGGGAGGCUGAGGCAAAAGGAUCUUGAGUUCAAAGCUAGCCUCAU
rnacentral:sRNA from 1 species